AGUUUGAUCCUGGCUCAGAUUGAACGCUGGCGGGAUGCUUUACACAUGCAAGUCGAACGGGCAGCACGGACUUCUGGUCUGGUGGCGAGUGGCGAACGGGUGAGUAAUGUAUCGGAACGUGCCUAGUAGCGGGGGAUAACUACGCGAAAAGCGUAGCUAAUACUGUACACGCCCUUCGGGGGAAAGCGGGGGGACCUUCGCCUCGCACUAUUAGAGCGGCCGAUAUCGGAUUAGCUAGCUGGUGGGGUAACGCUCACUCAAGGCGACGAUCCGUAGCUGGUUUGAGAGUGACGACCAGCCACACUGGGACUGAGACACGGCCCAGACUCCUACGGAGGCAGUGGGGAAUUUUGGACAAUGGGAAACUCUGAUCCAGCCAUCCCGCGGCAGGUGAUGAAGGCCUUCGGGUUGUAAAGCACUUUUGGCAGGAAGAAAACGGCACGGAGCACAAUUCCCGUGCAACUGACGGUACCUGCAGAAUAAGCACCGCUGCCAAUUGAUGCGCGCCAGCAGCCGCGGUAAUACGUAGGUGCAAGCGUUAAUCGGAAUUACUGGGCGUAAAGCGUGCGCAGGCGGUUCGGAAAGAUGCGAGAAAUCCCAGAGCUUAACUUUGGAACUGCAUUUUUAACUACCGAGCUAGAGUGUGUCAGAGGGAGGUGGAAUUCCGCGUGUAGCAGUGAAUGCGUAGAUAUGCGGAGGAACACCGAUGGCGAAGGCAGCCUCCUGGGAUAACACUGACGCUCAUGCACGAAAGCGUGGGGAGCAAACAGGAUUAGAUACUCCUGGUAGUCCACGCUCCUAAACGAUGUCAACUAGCUGUUGGGGCCUUCGGGCCUUGGUAGCGCAGCUAACGCAGAAGUUGACCGCCUGGGGAGUACGGUCGCAAGAUUAAAACUCAAAGGAAUUGACGGGGACCCGCACAAGCGGUGGGAUAUGGAUUAAUCUGAUGCAACGCGAAAACCUACCUACCCUUGACAUGUCUGGAAUCCCGAAGAGAUUUGGGAGUGCUCGCAAGAGAACCGGAACACAGGUGUUGCAUGGCUGUCGUCAGCUCGUGUCGAGAUGUUGGGUUAAGUCCCGCAACGAGCGCAACCCCUGUCAUUAGUUGGGCAUGAAAGGGCACUCUGACGAGACUGCCGGUGACAAACCGAGGAAGGUGGGGAUGACGCCAAGUCCUCAUGGCCCUUAUGGGUAGGGCUUCACACGUCAUACAAUGGUCGGGGACAGAGGGUCGCCAACCCGCGAGGGGGAGCCAAUCCCAGAAACCCGAUCGUAGUCCGAUCGCAGUCUGCAACUCGACUGCGUGAAGUCAAAUCGCUAGUAAUCGCGGAUCAGCAUGUCGCGGUGAAUACGUUCCCGGGUCUUGUACACACCGCCCGUCACACCAUGGGAGGGGUUUUACCAGAAGUAGUUAGCCUAACCGUAAGGAGGGCGAUUACCACGGUAGGAUUCAUGACUGGGGUGAAGUCGUAACAAGGUGCACCUCCAAAUAUUACCUGAUGCUCCUAGGAGU
rnacentral:rRNA from 1 species